rnacentral:rRNA from 1 species
CUUGCUUUCUUUGCUGGCGACCGGCGCACGGGUGAGUAACACGUAUCCAACCUGCCCUUUACUCGGGGAUAGCCUUUCGAAAGAAAGAUUAAUACCCGAUAGUAUAAUGAUUCCGCAUGGUUUCAUUAUUAAAGGAUUCCGGUAAAGGAUGGGGAUGCGUUCCAUUAGGUUGUUGGUGGGGUAACGGCUCACCAAGCCUUCGAUGGAUAGGGGUUCUGAGAGGAAGGUCCCCCACAUUGGAACUGAGACACGGUCCAA